rnacentral:rRNA from 1 species
CUAGGAUUAGAUACCCUAUUAUAUUAAAGUUAAAUUUAAAAAUACUGAAUUAUUAAUAGAUAUUUCUUAAAAUUUAAAGAAUUUGGCGGUAAUUUAGUCUUGUCAGAGGAACCUGUUUUUUAAUCGAUACACCACGUUAUAUCUUACUUAUUUUAAAUGUUUGUAUACCAUCAUUAUUAGAUAAUUUUAAAAGAAAAAAUUAUUAAAAUUAAAUAUAUUAAGAAAAUUAGAUCAAGGUGCAGCUAAUAAAUAAGUUAAAAUGGGUUACAAUAAAAUUUAUUUAUACGAAAUAAUUUAUAAAAUUAAAUUAUAAAGGUGGAUUUGAUUGUAAUAUAAGUUUAAUAAGCUUAUAAGAUAUAAGCUCUAAAUUAUGUACACAUCGCCGGUCACUCUCAA